AUUGAACGCUGGCGGCAUGCCUUACACAUGCAAGUCGAACGGCAGCACGGGAGCAAUCCCGGUGGCGAGUGGCGAACGGGUGAGUAAAGUAUCGGAACGCGCCCAGUCGUGGGGGAUAACGUAGCGAAAGUUACGCUAAUACCGCAUACGAUCUAUGGAUGAAAGCGGGGGAUCGCAAGACCUCGCGCGAUUGGAGCGGCCGAUAUCAGAUUAGGUAGUUGGUGGGGUAAAGGCUCACCAAGCCGACGAUCUGUAGCUGGUCUGAGAGGACGACCAGCCACACUGGGACUGAGACACGGCCCAGACUCCUACGGGAGGCAGCAGUGGGGAAUUUUGGACAAUGGGCGAAAGCCUGAUCCAGCCAUGCCGCGUGCAGGAUGAAGGCCUUCGGGUUGUAAACUGCUUUUGUACGGAACGAAAAGGUUUGGGCUAAUAAGCUGAGCUCAUGACGGUACCGUAAGAAUAAGCACCGGCUAACUACGUGCCAGCCGCCGCCGUAA
rnacentral:rRNA from 1 species